ACGGCUCAGUAACACGUGGACAACCUGCCCUUAGGUUGGGUAUAAACCCGGGAAACUGGGUAUAAUACCCGAUAGGUCUCGAUUGCUGGAAUGCAUCGAGAUUUAAAGCUCCGGCGCCUAAGGAUGGGUCUGCGGCCUAUCAGGUAGUAGUGGGUGUAGCGUACCUACUAGCCUACGACGGGUACGGGUUGUGAGAGCAAGAGCCCGGAGAUGGAUUCUGAGACACGAAUCCAGGCCCUACGGGGUGCAGCAGGCGCGAAAACUUUACAAUGCUGGCAACAGCGAUAAGGGAACCUCGAGUGCCAGGUUACAAAUCUGGCUGUCGAGAUGCCUAAAAAGCAUUUCAUAGCAAGGGCCGGGCAAGACCGGUGCCAGCCGCCGCGGUAACACCGGCGGCUCGAGUGGUAACCGUUAUUAUUGGGUCUAAAGGGUCUGUAGCCGGCCGGAUAAGUCUCUUGAGAAAUCUGGCAGCUUAACUGUCAGGCUUUCAGGAGAUACUGUCUGGCUCGAGGCCGGGAGAGGUGAGAGGUACUUCAGGGGUAGGGGUGAAAUCUUGUAAUCCUUGAAGGACCACCAGUGGCGAAGGCGUCUCACCAGAACGGACCUGACGGCAAGGGACGAAAGCUAGGGGCACGAACCGGAUUAGAUACCCGGGUAGUCCUAGCCGUAAACGAUACUCGCUAGGUGUCGGCCACGGUGCGACCGUUGUCGGUGCCGUAGGGAAGCCGUGAAGCGAGCCACCUGGGAAGUACGGCCGCAAGGCUGAAACUUAAAGGAAUUGGCGGGGGAGCACA
rnacentral:rRNA from 3 species